rnacentral:rRNA from 1 species
AUUGAACGCUGGCGGCGUGCUUAACACAUGCAAGUCGAGCGGAAAGGCCUCUUUGGGGGUACUCGAGCGGCGAACGGGUGAGUAACACGUGAGUAACCUGCCCCAGUCUUUGGGAUAACCCUCGGAAACGGGGGCUAAUACCGGAUAUGACGCAUCGGCGCAUGUUGGUGUGUGGAAAGUUUUUCGGUCUGGGAUGGGCUCGCGGCCUAUCAGCUUGUUGGUGGGGUGAUGGCCUACCAAGGCGACGACGGGUAGCCGGCCUGAGAGGGCGACCGGCCACACUGGGACUGAGACACGGCCCAGACUCCUACGGGAGGCAGCAGUGGGGAAUAUUGCACAAUGGGCGCAAGCCUGAUGCAGCGACGCCGCGUGAGGGAUGACGGCC